GCAAGUCGAACGAGAAAGCAUUCUUCGGAGUGUUAGUACAGUGGCGAACGGGUGAGGAACACGUAGGUAAUUUACCUUUAAGUUUGGGACAACCUGGGGAAACUCAGGCUAAUACCGGAUGUGAUCGCGAGAUUAAAGGGGGCCUCUAUUUAUAAGCUCUCGCUUAGAGAUAAGCCUGCGUCCUAUUAGCUAGAUGGUGUGGUAACGGCACACCAUGGCGAUGAUAGGUAGGCGGCCUUAACGGGUGGCC
rnacentral:rRNA from 1 species